rnacentral:rRNA from 1 species
UCAGCUUGUUGGUGAGGUAAUGGCUCAUCAAGGCGACGACGGGUAGCCGGCCUGAGAGGGUGACCGGCCACACUGGACUGAGACACGGCCCAGACUCCUACGGGAGCAGCAGUGGGGAAUAUUGCGCAAUGGGCGCAAGCCUGAUGCAGCGACGCCGCGUGAGGGAUGACGGCCUUCGGGUUGUAAACCUCUUUCAGUAGGGAAGGAGCGAAAGUGACGGUACCUGCAGAAGAAGCACCGGCUAACUACGUGCCAGCAGCCGCGGUAAUACGUAGGGUGCGAGCGUUAUCCGGAAUUAUUGGGCGUAAAGAGCUCGUAGGCGGUUUGUCGCGUCUGUCGUGAAGUCCGGGGCUUAACCCCGGAUCUGCGGUGGGUACGGGCAGACUAGNGUGCAGUAGGGGAGACUGGAAUUCCUGGUGUAGCGGUGGAAUGCGCAGAUAUCAGGAGGAACACCGAUGGCGAAGGCAGGUCUCUGGGCUGUAACUGACGCUGAGGAGCGAAAGCAUGGGGAGCGAACAGGAUUAGAUACCCUGGUAGUCCAUGCCGUAACCGUUGGGCACUAGGUGUGGGGACCAUUCCACGGUUUUCCGCGCCGCAGCUAACGCAUUAAGUGC